rnacentral:lncRNA from 1 species
CGAGUUUUGAUUCAUGGGUGCGUCGUUUAUGGUCCUAGUGUGGCUUCGAUAUGCAAGCUGAGGAUUUUACUCGUUCUUGGAAUUCUUCAGCGAGUCUUGGAAACAUUCAUGCGGCGGAGACGGUGAACCAAAGUGAAGAUGCGAUGAGGUUUUUUUUUUCUGCAUGACAUGAUGAGCUUCUUGCCAUGGAAACCUGGGCUUACCAAGGCCCGUG